rnacentral:rRNA from 1 species
AGUGAACGCUGGCGGUAGGCCUAACACAUGCAAGUCGAACGGUAGCACAGUAAGAGCUUGCUCUUACGGGUGGCGAGUGGCGGACGGUUGGGGAAUACAUCGGAAUCUACUUUUUCGUGGGGGAUAACGUAGGGAAACUAUAGUUAAUACCGCAUACGACCUCCGGGUGAAAGCAGGGGAGCUUUGUACUUUGCUCGAUUGAGUGAGCGGAUGUCGGGUUAGUUGGUUGGCGGGGUAAAGGCCCACCAAGGCGCCGAUCCGUAGCUGGUCUGAGAGGAUGGUCAGCCACACUGGAACUGAGACACGGUCCAGACUCCUACGGGAGGCCGCAGUGGGGAAUAUUGGACGAUGGGCGCAAGCCUGAUCCAGCCAUACCGGGUGGGUGAAGAAGGCCUUCGGGUUGUAAAGCCCUUUUGUUGGGAAAGAAAAGCAGCAGGUUAAUACCCGGCUGUUCUGACGGUACCCAAAGAAUAAGCACCGGCUAACUUCGUG